CCUACGGGAGGCAGCAGUCGAGAAUCAUUCACAAUGGGGGAAACCCUGAUGGUGCGACGCCGCGUGGGGGAAUGAAGGUCUUCGGAUUGUAAACCCCUGUCAUGUGGGAGCAAAUUAAAAAGAUAGUACCACAAGAGGAAGAGACGGCUAACUCUGUUCCAGCAGCCGCGGUAAUCCAGAGGUCUCAAGCGUUGUUCGGAAUCACUGGGCGUAAAGCGUGCGUAGGCGGUUUUGUAAGUCGUGUGUGAAAGGCGCGGGCUCAACCCGCGGACGGCACAUUAUACUGCGAGAGUAGAGUAAUGGAGGGGGAACCGGAAUUGGAGGUGUAGCAGUGAAAUGCGUAGAUAUCGAGAGGAACACUCGUGGCGAAGGCGGGUUCCUGGACAUUAACUGACGCUGAGGCACGAAGGCCAGGGGAGCGAAAGGGAUUAGAUACCCCUGUAGUC
rnacentral:rRNA from 1 species